rnacentral:rRNA from 1 species
CCUACGGUGGGCAGCAGUGGGGGAUAUUGCACAAUGGGGGAAACCCUGAUGCAGCGACGCCGCGUGUGGGAAGACGGUCCUCUGGAUUGUAAACCACUGUCCCCAGGGACGAAGAUGACGGAACCUGGGGAGGAAGCUCCGGCUAACUACGUGCCAGCAGCCGCGGUAAUACGUCGGGAGCAAGCGUUGUCCGGAAUUACUGGGUGUAAAGGGAGCGUAGGCGGGAUGGCAAGUUGGGUGUUAAAUGUACCGGCACAACUGGUAGUCGCACUGAAAACUGGUAUUCUUGAUGGAAGUAGAGGCAGGCGGAAUUCGUGGUGUAGCGGUGAAAUGCGUAGAUAUUAGGAGGAACAC